rnacentral:rRNA from 1 species
GGCGGCGUGCCUAACACAUGCAAGUCGAGCGAGAUUGAGUGGAUUGAGGGCUUCGGCCUGAGAGAAGCUAAUGAAAGCGGCGGACGGGUGAGUAACGCGUGGGCAACCUGCCCCAUACAAAGGGAUAGCCACUGGAAACGGUGAUUAAUACCUUAUAAGUCGGUAGUCUCGCAUGAGAGAGCCGACAAAGAUUUAUCGGUAUGGGAUGGGCCCGCGUUUGAUUAGCUGGUUGGUGAGGUAACGGCUCACCAAGGCGACGAUCAAUAGCCGACCUGAGAGGGUGAUCGGCCACACUGGAACUGAGACACGGCCCAGACUCCUACGGGAGGCAGCAG